AAAAAAAAAAUGGGGCUAGCUCAAAUGAAACGGAAAGUGAAGGAAGAGAUGAUGAAGGAGAGGGUCUUAAAGCAAGACUGUUUAAUGUAGUGGUACGAUUUGAAGGAGAGGGGGGAGGUAAGAGAAUGGAUCCACUUAAGUUAACAAAAAUAAUAAGAGGGCAAGUAGGAGAAGUGAAAUAUGCAAGAAUAUUGGGAGAUGAAAAUCUACUUAUAGGGUGUAAUAACGAGGGGCAGAUGGAAAAGGCAAAGAAGAUGAGCUGCAUUGGAAAAAUUAAAGUAGACAAAGUAAUAAGAGUGGGAGAGAGAAGAACGGGUGGUAGUACGGGAGUGAUAUAUGGAAUUCCGCUUACUGUAAAUAUGAAAGAACUAGUGGAGAACAUGAGGGUACGAAAAAUCAACAUAAAUGUGUCUGAAAUCACUGAAGGAAGUGGCAAAUACCUGAGUCAGAUUGAAUAUAAUUGUGAUAUAGAAAUUCUGGAAAAUAAAGUAAGACAGGGUAUAAUAAUAGCAGCUUUAGAAUCUAUUCCAAAAAGUCAAGGUAAUAUAAAGAGAAAAGAAGUGCCAUGGUGAGAUGAUGAAUGUAAAAGAACCAGUCAGAAACCGAAAUAAAGCAUUUAAUGAAAAGAAUGCAUAAUUUCAUGCAUAUGAUUCAGUAUAAAUAUGCACAAGCAAUAGUAAGGAAAACAGUAAGACAAGCAAAAAGAAUGUAUUGGAGGAAUAACUGCAGCUCAAUUGGGAAUACAACUCAGAUAGGAGAAGUGUGGACGAUGAUUAAAAAGAUGGGUGGGGAGAGGAGAGAUUGGAAUUACCUGGUUUUGUGUAAUAGAAACGAGAUCACAGUGACAAAUAAGGAAAAGGCUGAAAUGUUGGUAAAUACGUUUGUUAAUGUACACAGUUCAAAUAAUUUAUCUGAAGAAGGGAAGAGGGGCAGAGAGGAAACUAGAUCUGAAAAUUGGGAGGCGCUGAGGGUGAUGGGAAAUGAAGAAGGUGAACAAAAUGUACCAUUUAACAUGGGAGAAUUAAGGAGAGCAUUGGCAAAAACUGGGAAGACUGCACCAGGGAAAGAUGAAGUAUGUCAUAGCAUGUUGAAGGAGUUAAGUGAGGAGGGGAAGAAGUUAUUGAUGCUAUACAAUAAAGUGUGGGAAGAAGGAAGAGUGCCAAAGGGCUGGAAGGAAGCAGUUAUUGUUCCAAUAAGAAAACCUGGGAAAGAUGCUAGUAAGAAAACAAAUUAUAGACCCAUUGCCCUGACUUCUCAUAUCUGUAAGCUAAUGGAAAGAAUGGUAAAUGAGAGAUUAAUGUAUAUUAUGGAAAAGCAAGGUAUGGUCACUGAAUGCCAAAGUGGAUUUAGGAGAGAAAGGGGUACUGUGGAUGCAGUGGUAUGUUUGGAAGAUGAAAUAAGAAAGCUCAAAUAAAUAAAUAAAGAGAUGGUAGUAGCAGUAUUUUUUGAUGUUGAAAAAGCAUAUGACAUGCUAUGGAGAGAGGGGUUGAUGAUUAAGUUGUAUAGAAUGGGAGUUAGAGGAAGAAUUUUUAACUGGGUUAAGGAUUUCUUGAAAGGAAGAACAAAACAGGUUAAAAUAGGAGCAAAUUUGUCAAGCAAGUGUGUAGCAGAGAAUGGAACGCCCCAGGGGAGUGUAAUAAGUCCCACAUUAUUCUCAGUAAGGAUAAAUGACAAAUAUGUAAAUGUACCAGCGGGCAUGGGAAGAUCCCUAUUUGCGGAUGAUGGAGCAAUAUGGAAAAGAGGAAGAAAUGUAGAACAUAUAGUUAAGAAAGUGCAAGAUGGUAUACAGCAGGUUGAGAAGUGGGGAAUAAAAUGGGGUUUUAAAUUUUCUGUUGAAAAAACUAAAGUAAUGUUUUUUACAAGGAGGAAGAUCAAUGAAGGCUUUAAUUUAAAACUAUACAGAAGAAAGUUGGAGAGAGUUAAUAAAUUUUGCUUUCUAGGAGUACAUUUUUAUCCAAGGUUGACAUGGGUAGAACAUAUAAGGAAUGUGAAGGAUAAAUGUAAAAAAGUAAUAAAUACAAUGAGAUGUUUAUCAGGGUUAGAAUGGGGAGCGGACUAUCAAUCACUGAAAUAUAUAUAUGUAAGUUUAAUAAGGUCAAGGAUAGAUUAUGGGAGUGUGGUGUAUGGAUCAGCAGCCAAAUCUGUACUUGCGAGACUUGAUAUAAUACAGGCUAAAGCAUUGAGACUAUGCUUAGGAGCAGUAAAAACAUCGCCAGUAUGUGCAAUACAAGUGGAAGCGGGAGAAAUGCCACUGGACAUUUCGGCGUAAACAAUUGCUGGUAAAUUAUUGGAUUAAUCUAAAGAGACAUAGAGAUGGUCAUCCUACUAAGAGAGUGUUGCAAGCUAGCUGGGAAAAGGAAAGGGCGCAAAAGUUUAGUUUUCAAUGGAUAGGAGAUGAGGCAGCUAGUGAUUUGGGGGUGAGCGGAAAAGAGUUCUGCCCGACUGUUGUAUGGCCUGACUUUCCAGUAUGGAAGAUUGAAGCCAUGGAAGUUGAUUUUGAAUUACAUCAAAUCAAAACAAUAAACAAUAGUGCAGACCUUGUAGCUGAAUUCUACAGAUAUGUGGAUGAUAAAUACAGAGAUUAUAUUCAAUUUAUACAGAUGGGUCGAAAGAUCCUAAAACAGGAAGGACUGGAUCAGCAAUUUUUAUAGUUAAUCAAGGAGGUGAGGAAAGCAAACAAACCACGAAUGAUCUGAAUGUGUAUACAGUUGAGUUAUAUGCUAUCAUGAUGGCAUUAGAAUGGAUUAAAAACGAGGACAAAAUAAGUAAAGUUUUAAUUGGAAGUGUUUCAUUGUCAGCGCUGUGCAGCCUCAGGACAGGUAUGUCCAAUAGCCAUCAGGACCUGUUAUAUGCAAUACUGGCAACAUAUACAAGAGUAAAGGAAAAAUGUAAUGAGAUUCAACUGAUCUGGACCCCAGUUCAUAUAGGCAUUCUGGGCAAUGAGAGAGUGGAUAAAUUAGCUAAACAAGCAAUUAAAAAAAGAGAAUAUUGAAGUAAAUAUAAAGAUGUCAAAAUCUGAAGGGAAAAGUAUAGUUUGGAAAGAAGCCGUGAGAGAAUGGCAAUGUCAGUGGGACAGGGAAGCUAAAGGAAGACAUUUGUAUGCCAUUCAAAAUUGGUAGAGUGAAGAACUGGGGAGGGGCUAGGAGAAGAGAAAUAGUGAUGACAAGAUUAAGAAUAGGACACAGUAAAUUAAAUAGUACGUUACACAUUAUAGGGAAGCAUCCUACAGGUUUUUGUGAGUAUUGUCAGACAUUAGAAACCAUAGAACAUGUACUUUUAAGUUACAGAAGAUAUGAAGAACAGAGGAGAAAUAUGAUGGAAGAAUUAAGAAGAGAUGGGUUGGCAGGGGCAGGUAUAAAAGAUAUACUGCAAAGUGGUGUGAUUAGACAAGGCAGGAAAAAAUAUGUGUAAAGUUUUAAUUAGUACGGGUUUGAUGAGGAGAAUAUGAUCGCGGAAAACAAGCUGGAGGAAAUAACCUGGAGUAACAUCGCAGGAGAAUAAUCCAGAAGAUGGCGGUAAUGCAACGCUCUUGGAUGCAAGCAGCCGUUAAACCUCAAAGAAGAAGAAGAGGAUUCCGUACAUUCAGCUGCUCUGUUUUUGUCUAGGAUUUCUUUUCGCCUGCUCUCUUCCUGUUUGAUAGUGAUUACAUUGUGAAAAUACAUGUUCUAAAAUUCCUGUCACUUGUCACUCCUAGACUGAAAGAUGAUCAGACUGAAGAUCUCCGAAAGGAGGUGGAGCACCUGAGGAGACAGAUAGAAGAGUUGUCUAUCCAUCAGAGAUUUUGUUUGGCGAUUUGCUGCAUUGGACGAUGACAUAUGGUUUUACACUAGGUAAGAUCUAAAACUUAUACAAGAUAUUAUAUUAUGAAACACAUUGUAGCCUUGGUCGUCUGAUUGCGAAAAACUAAUCUUCUCGUCUUAAUACAUGUUUAUUUAAAUAGAGCUUUUAUUUACAUGUCAGUAAAGCCCUACACUUUAACCUGCAAUACAGUCUAAACAAAAAAUAAGCUACAACUGUUGACUAUGCAUCACAUUUGGUGGUGUAUAUUAUCUCAAACAUGUCCCAGAUCUAAUAUAGGUUUGUGACUUACAACCACUUGAUGGCGUUCUGCAGACUUGUUGAGCCUGCAUCCCACAACAUGGUUCAUGUGACCAGAGCAAGGGCAGCUACAACACGGAGUGAAGUUGGAGCAUCAGGCAAUGCAUCAUAAUUUUAUUAUGUAUUUGAAUCAGUCAUCCCUCUCUCAAUGACCGGGAGCAUAAACCAGCUAUACACUGUUGCUUGCCUCCUUGUGAACUACCAGUUGGCUUCUUGGUAAACGCAUGGGUAAAGGAUUAAAGACUAGGCUAGGCUGUUGGGGGAUGGAUCAGUUUGGAUUUAUUUGUAGAGUCUGUAACAUAAAUAUGUAGAUGAAUGUAAACAUGUAAAUAUAAACAACUUUGAUAGCGUUUCUGUAAACACAUAAAUAACUUUAUAAAGCAUUGUCUUAACACCACUAACAUUUAUAACAUUAAUCAUUCAUUUACCAUUUAUUACAUUAUACAUUACAUACAAUAUACAUUGCAUUAUGUGGGGUAAUAGGGAAGUAAAGAAAAUAUUUUUUCUAUGUAAGCAUACACAUUAUAUAAACAGUAUUUAAAAUUUUGUUAUUUUACCAGGGUCAGUCCCUGCAGCCAAUAGAUGAGUUUUUCCUCUUCAUGGUCCAUCUCUCUGUUGGUCUAACACAGAGGGAUCUGGCUUAGAUUCAAUAUCCAUCAGUCUACCGUGAGUCGCAUUAUUACAACCUGGGCCAAUUUUCUGUAUGCCAUUCUUGAAUCGGUGCUCAUCUGGAUGUCUGAGGAGGCGGUCAAGGCUCACACGAUAAAGGUCCCAUUGCACCUUCAAGGGGUUAAUCGGUAUGGCACCACAUGGUGCAGUCACAUUUGUGUCAUCCCUGUACGCAGGAUCUGUUAGUGGCAAGGAGCUUUUGAAGCAGUCUGGGAUUGUGUCUCUGCUGAAACCUGGAAUGGCCAUUAUGGUCAACAAAGGUUUUCUGGUGUAUGAUUGUGUGCCAUGCAAAGUUGACAGACCUGCUUACCUGUCAAAGAGGGAACAAAUGUUGGCUGUUGAGGUAAGGGAGACUCAAUCCAUUGCUCAGCUGAGGGUCCACACUGAGUGUUUCAUACGCGGGGUGAAGCAACACAAGCUGUUUUAAUCAGUCAUCCCUCUCUCAAUCACCGGGAGCGUAAACCAGCUAUACACUGUUGCUUGCCUCCUUGUGAACUACCAGUUGGCUUCUUGGUAAACGCAUGGGUAAAGGAUUAAAGACUAGGCAAAACACUUGCUUUGAUAGCAUUUCAGUUAACAAAUAACUUUAUAAAGCAUUGUCUUAACACCACUGUAAUGUAAACAUCUAAAUAUAAAUAACCUUACAGUGUUUCUGUAAAAAUGUAAAUAAAUAACUUUGUUACAGUGUAAAACAACUUGUAAUUAUUUACAUUUCUAGAGAUCUUGGCAGGUAGAAAUACAAAAAGAAAUGGUCAGCCCUCUCUCUAAUAGUUUUAAACACUCUGCUGUCUUUGUAGAUGUGCUGGUUCAUCAUAUCAUCCUGUGCAUAUACAACAAAAAUCACACCAGUCCAAUCCUUAGAUCAGCAUCUGACCUGAAACUUGCCAGUAGUAUGCAUGCUGUUGUUCCAGCUCUGGUGUGCCAUUCUGCAACUUCAGGUAAGGGUAAUCAACAUAACUUUUUUACAUUUGGGCACUUUAUCUCCAAAAGGCCAAAAGUUUGGUGCUCCGUGGGGUCAUAUAUGAUGCCAUCAGGAGAGGCACCAAGCCAAGGUACAUCUGGGUGAAUUAAGAAUCCACAAGGAUUGAAGUUCACUGUGCGCAACAGACAGUAUUCCUCAACCGCUGCAGAUUCCAUUUCAAGGCCUCUCUUCAUGUCUGCUGUCUGGCAAGUUCUUUUGUAGAUCCUUUCAGCCAAGUGUUCAGCGGAGCUCUGACCCCCGUACAUGGCAAACCUCUCUAAAAUGGGAAAGUGGCCACAUUAGGAUGAGCCAGUGUUUGCCAACCCUGUUCCGGGAGACACACCAGCAGUACAUGUCUUGGACAUCUCACUAAUCUGACACACCCAUUUUAGGUCUUAGUCUUAUAACGAGCUGAUGAGUGGAAUUUAAAACAUGUACUGUUUGGUUGCCUCAAGGAACAGGGUUAGGAAGGCAUUAAUCAUUCAUUUUAUUCUUAAAUUUCUUGGAAAAUUCACUUUAACUUACCAUUGUUCUGGGUUUGUGCUAGCUCUGCUCAGUUUCAGUACAGCUGUGAACUGGAGGAACUGCACUGACGCCAAGCUGAGAGUAGCAUGCUGCUUGGUACAGUAGCGCAACAAUGUGGUUGCACUGUUGCUGGGACAGUAACAAAAUACAAUAAAUUAAAUAAUAAUAAUAAAUUAAUGACCCCAAAGGAUAGGCUAUAUGCAUAAACAAGAAGACAAGAUGACCUUCUUUCCCUCUAAAGUACAACACGUUUUUUACUGAAUGGCCUUGUCAUGCCAUUUUAAAAUAUUAAAAAUUCAUCCUUCAGUUCUCUAGUUUUGUCUCCCUACUCUCAGACUAUGUGGCUUCUCUGACUUCCUGAUAGAUCUGAAACAAGUCGCCUUCACGCUGAUCUCUCAUUUCACCUGAUCCUUAUCAGAAACCGAAAAAUUGCAUAAAAUUAGUGACAUUUAUAGUCCUAAAGAACUAUACAUAUCGUAUUAACAUGAUAACAUUAGUGAAAUGAUUAAAAACAAUAUCAAAAACAAUGCCAGACAUCUUAAUAUAUUUAUUCCCUUUUUACAUUUAUCUGUCACUUUCUGUAUAUGUGAUGCAAAUGUCAGCUUUGAAUCCAUCCAUACCACAAGGAACCUAAUUACUGGGACUUGUUCCAAUGCUUCAUCAUAAAGAUUUAAUUUAAUAUUUGGAAUUUUAGUAUUAAAUUUGGAAUGUUUUUCUUUGAAAAACAUAUCACUUAUGUUUUUUCUACAGACAAUCAGAAGCUCCAUUUUUUGCCCAUUUUUCCACUUCAUUAACUGCAAUGUGCAUACUUAUCUCCACAUAUGCAACAUUCCAUCCUCUUUUCCACCAGGCACAAUUGUCUGCAUACAGGGAUUUGCCAAUUCCUUGUCCAAUCUUUGAAAAAAUAUUAUUUAUCAUAAUAUUGAACAAAACUGGGCUGCACACACUAUCUUGUGGAGUACCAAUAUCUCUUGUGUAAGUCUUUGAAUAACUUGUUACAACCCUCACUUGUAUGGUCCUAUCAAAUUAAAAAGUCCAUGAUCCAAUUAUGUAAUCGUCCUAAUUCCCAUCUUAUCUAAUUUAAUUAAAAGUCCCUCUUUCCACAGCAUAUCAUAGACUUUUACAUCAAAAAAUACUCCUAUUAAUAAUUCUUUAUUCACUAUUGCCUUUCUAAUUUCGGAUUCUAGACAUAUUAUUGAAUCCAUUGUGUUACGUCCUUUCCUAAAACCACUCUGAUGGGGGCACAAUAAGUUCUUUCUUUCUACUAUAUAGUUUAAAUGAGCUAUUACCAUUCUUUCCAUUAAUUCAUACAAGUUGGAUGUUAAAGCGAUUGGUCUGUAAUUUGCUGCUAUAGAAUGAUUAUUUCCAGGCUUGGCAAUUGGAAUUAAUCACACCAUGUUUCCACGAGGAAGGGAGCUUUCCUAACUCCCAUACUUAAAUAGCCGUAAAAUGAUGUUCAAUGAUAUAUCUGAUAGAUGUAUUAUCAUUUCAUAAUAUAUUUCAUUUUUCUUCUGGGGAUGUAUGCUUUACUCCUAGUAAAGCCUGCUUCAAUUCAUACAAUGUAAAUUCCACAUCCAGUAUGCACCCUGAUGGCACUUUUUGGACCAGGAUAUCUGGAUUCUCUUUCAAUAUUUGUUCUCUCUGUACCCUCAUAUUUUCUGAUAUAUUAUUGUUACUUUGUACCUUAACAAAAGCUUCUGCCAACACCUCUGCCUUUUCACUGUUAGACAUGAUAUAUUUACCCUCAUUUAUUAAAACUGGAAUACUCCUGUAUGUUUGUAUCCCUCCCAUCUUCCUAAUCAUACCCCACAUUUCGCUAAUAUUUGUACUCUCACCUAUUUCAUUGCAAAAUGAAUAAUUAAAAAAAUAAAAGUAAUUUCUUUUAGUUACCCUUAUUACUCUUCUUACAACUGCCUGGGUUCUCUUAUAUACUAUAAAGUCAUCAAAGGAGUGUGAGUUCUUUACCUUCCUCAAUGCUCUAUUUCUGAUUUUAACUACUUCACUGCAUUCUUCUGUCCACCAUGGUACCACCUUUUUCCUUCUCUUUACUCUUCCCAAUUGUCUCUUGUGCUGUACUACAAAGAACUAUAUUUAUUCUAUUACUUAAAUCUAAAGAAUUUAAGUAAUAAAGAAUAAAGAAUUUAAGUAAUUUAAAGAAUUAUGUGAAUUUAGUAUGUUAAGGAUGGUAAAUCAUUUUCCAUCCUUAACAUAUUAAAUUCACAUUAUUCUUUAAAUUUAUCCCAGUCUGCUGUUUUCAACCUCCACCUAGGAAUUUUCUCCUCUUGACAUUUUACCAUGUCUAUGCCAAUUCUACAUCUGAUAGGAUAAAGAUCACUCCCCAUAGUACUACGGUCAAGUAUUUCCCAUCACAUUGUCUGGCCAAACUUUGUGACACACUUGUUAAAUCUAUAGCUGAGUUGCUUCCCCUAAACUACAUCUAUUCUUGUGGCACUUCCACCAUUAAUGCAUACAAGAUCAUUACAAUCUAUUAUUUCUUCUACCACAUAGCCAUUUUAAUCAUUAGUUGCACUUCCCCACAAAGUACUGUGUGAAUUAAAAUCACCACAUCACACUAACUUAAAAUUACCCUCACCGCCGAUAUUUUCCAUUAAGUCUUUGUUUAAUCUUUUACACGGAUUAUAAAAAUAAUAUAUAAGUAAGUAAGUAAGUAGUAUUCUGGUUUUCAAUUCUUACUUCCACCACUUCUGAUUCAACUUCAUUUGCACUCCUGAAUGCUACUCCUUGUUUAAUGAAAGUUACUUCUGCCCCACCAUUCGCUUUAAUCCUAUCCUUGGAUACUGCAAAAUAUCCUUGAACCACAAAAUUUAAGUGAGGCUUUAACCAAGAUUCUUGUACACAUGUUAUAUGAGGUUUAUCCUUGAAAUUAUCUAUACACUUUUUGAAUUCUUGUCCAUUUGCUACUAAACUCCUUGCAUUCCACUGCAAGAUUGCCAAAACCAUUAUGAGCCUCCACAUACUGUCAUCUAACUCUUCCACCAUAUCUAGAUCACUUCCUGACUCCACCCAGCUUCCGUCCAUCUUGACUUCAGUCACAGCCCAGCUUUGCCAACCGCUCCAUAUAUCCUUAUAUUUUAAAUACUUUAUUGUAUUGCAAGGAUCAGAAAACAAAUGAUUGAUAUGGCUUUGGUCAACAUGAAUGUAAAAGAUUACCAGCCAUUUACAGUUACAGAUGCUGGCUUUAGGGAUUUUGUUUGAAUUUUAGACCCAACUUACAUUAUUCCAUCCCGCCAGUCAUUAAAGAAAAUGGUUGAGGAUAAAUACAAGGAGGCCAAAGACAAGGCAAAGGAAGUGGUGAAAAAGGCCAAAGCUGUAAGCGUCACAUUAGCCAUGUGGACAUCUUUACAUAUGGAUGCAUAUCUGGCAGUGACAUAUGAUUUUAUAAAUGAAAAAAUCAUACAGGAGGUGGGAAUAUUUCAAAAAGUCAUACUUCCGAGAACAUAGCAAUGAAGACAGCUUUGAUGGAGGAGCAUUUGAUGGAGGGUAUUCAGAACAAAAUGCGAUGUCUUGUAACUGAUGCUGCUGCCAAUAUGGUUGCAUGUGCCAGCAGCCUGAAGCUCUGCCACACAAAAUGCAUAGCACAUGCCCUAAACUUGGUUGUAAAAAAGGCCAUAGAACAAACACCAGGACUUGAGGAUAUUAGAGUAAAGGCAUGAAAGAUUGUGGCUCAUUUCAAGUCCAGCACAACAGCAAGAGAAAGGCUAUUGCUGUUACAAAAUCAGAUGGGCAAGCCAAAACACAAGUUUAUUCAUGCAAUGUUAGAGUGCUCAGAGAGAGCACUUUGGUUACUCUGAAGACAAACCUCACACUUUUGACUUCAGAAGAGUACCAGACAUUAAAUAAAUGUCUUGGUGUAUUGUGCCACUUCAGUGAGGCUUCCAUAGAAUUGUCAGAGGAGGAAAGAGUGUCAGGGUCAAAGGUGAUUCCUCUUAUACAAAUGAUGAGGCAUGCAAUCACCUCAAAGAGCACACAGGUUGAUGAUGAGAGGGCUUUACAAUUGUGCCACAACCUCCUGAGGCUUCUCUCGAAGAGGAUGUCUACAUAUGAGACUAUAUUAUGUUAUGACCCUGGCAACUCUGCUUGAUCCACAUUUUAAAACUGUAGUCUUCUACAGCCAGUCAAAUGCAGAGACUGCUGUAAUGCCUCACAGCAGAAUGUGCAGCAAUCAUAAGAGCUGAGGCAGUCCAAAACAAUCCCCUCAUCGCAACCAGGGCCAGCAGGAGCCACAAGCAGCCAUGCAACACACUCAGGUACUGUUUGUCGUAUUGUGUGUAUGUGUGUGUUUGUUUGUUUGUUAGUUUUAUUACAUUUGGCAUGGAUCGUGCAUGUACUACAGAGAACCUGAAUACCAUUAAACUUUUGUUUUAAUUAUUCUCUCCUUUUUGAGGUAAAGGUCUGUGGAAUCUACUGGACAGUCAUGUUGUAGAAACCAGAAGGAUGAAAAAUGCGACUGCAAAUGCCUCAGUUGAGGUUCAACAGUACCUCAGUGACCCAAAUAUUCCACGCACAGAAGAUCCCAUGCAUUUCUGGGCUAUUCAAAAUCCUGUCUAUCCACAUCUUCAUCAUCUUGCCCUGGAAUUUUUAUGCACUCCUGCCUCCUCAGUCCCGUGUGACAGAAUAUUCUCAAAGGCAGGGGAAGUAGUAAAUAAAAAAAGAAAUAGACUUAGCCCCUGCACUGUUUAACAAGUCCUGUUCCUUAAUAAAAAUCUUUAAAGUCUUCCAUUUCCCAAAUAAUAAAAUGUCAACUCCCCAGUUCACAAGCACUAUAUAUAUAUAUUGUAGGAAUUGAGACUAUCAAACUGAAGAAACUGACUGUCUCUCCAACCACACACAGGACAAAGACAUCCCUUCACACCCAACGGACCUAAGAUGGCUCCAGUCUGUCUAGGCUAAAUGACAGGUCGUUAAAUAUUAAGGGAUCCUAACAGUCAUCGGAAUGCAGAAAACCCCAAAAAAAAGGGUGUAAAUUACCCCUCGGUAGAGCUGACCUCGAAUUGACCACCCUUAACAGAUGCCUUUUGUUUGGAUUAGGGAACUGGUUGAGAUUUAUCACACUCCACACCACACUACAUCCUGCUGAAGUUGGAAUGACCUUUGGUCCCCCACUGAAUCAGCAAAAGGACUCCAUGCCUAAGACUCCUCCACUUUUAAGAAUGUUCUUUUCUUUCUUUGUAUCUGCCUUAUCUUAUUUCAAUGUAGUCGCUGGGUUUUGGAAUAAGUAUGUAUGGGGACCAUGCCUUCACACGUGGUGUAUUAAACCAGAGGGCAAGAGUUAACUUACACUUCAGCCACGGCGACUUCUCACAUGGUGGGAAGUCCGGCGCUACCUCCAAAUCACGUAUUCAAACCAGCAUUAUAUUACAACCCCACUAUUAAUGGAGUUAUAUAAUAUUAAGUCUGUUUCUUUCUGUAAACACGCCAUUAUACCCAGUAGCUAAUGGCCAUGGCUAAUGUAUGUCAUGUGUCUUCAUGUGCGGAAGCUGUUGAUGAUUUGCAAUUCUUAGUACCUCAUAUCAUACAUUUAUUAUAAGCAUUAAAGGUAAAUAAGACCACAUUACAGUGGACAUUGAGAAGGGGGCAACCCGGGAGGGGUCACUUGCAAAUUAGCUGGAGGGCCAGCCAAGCCACUCUCCAAUCAUCUCCAAACAGGCCUGCGGUUGGUUGAAGACCUCAAGAGGCCAGCUCAUCUAAACUAACAUAAAACCGCAUGCCCAAGACACAGAAACACACAGGAAUGCAACAACACAAGAACAAAGAACAGAGCCGGAGCGGGAGCUGAACUGGAACGGAGCUGGGACCAGAACAGAGCUGGAACAGGAAGAGAACCUGCACCAGAAGAUUCCAAGACUUGCAUCACCGAACAUUGCUUGACUCGACCCUUCGCCCAGCUGUCCAGACUCCAGCCUCCCUCUCCGGCGACGAUCAAUAACUUCUCUAACUUGCUCCAACUCCGGUCCGACUAGAACCUGCUGACCAACACCAACUACUUCCAUUCACCACCUAGGCAAAGCAAGUAUUGAUACCUCCCAACUUCAUUAAGCUGGUGCAGUAAACCUAAAACUCUUUUAAUCAAUUAAUGCUGAUUUAUGUUGAUGGUUCACUCAGGUCAGGGUCUCGUGAUUUUUCAUGUUCAUGUCUAAGAACUCAACUCUCUGAUUAUUCUCACUGGUUCUUCUCAUUCCAUAUUCCUACAUGUAUGAAUGUGUAUGUCUGUGUGUGUGUGUUGGUUGUGUGUAGUAGUUUAGUAUAUGCAUAUAGUAGCUUAGUAUAAUAAAGUCUCGUCUGAUUUAUAAAG